AACGAACGCUGGCGGCAUGCCUAACACAUGCAAGUCGAACGAGACCUUCGGGUCUAGUGGCGCACGGGUGCGUAACGCGUGGGAAUCUGCCCUUGGGUUCGGAAUAACAGUUAGAAAUGACUGCUAAUACCGGAUGAUGUCUUCGGACCAAAGAUUUAUCGCCCAGGGAUGAGCCCGCGUCGGAUUAGCUAGUUGGUAGGGUAAAAGCCUACCAAGGCGACGAUCCGUAGCUGGUCUGAGAGGAUGAUCAGCCACACUGGGACUGAGACACGGCCCAGACUCCUACGGGAGGCAGCAGUGGGGAAUAUUGGACAAUGGGCGAAAGCCUGAUCCAGCAAUGCCGCGUGAGUGAUGAAGGCCUUAGGGUUGUAAAGCUCUUUUACCCGGGAUGAUAAUGACAGUACCGGGGGAAUAAGCCCCGGCUAACUCCGUGUCAGCCGCCGCGGUAACAC
rnacentral:rRNA from 1 species